rnacentral:rRNA from 2 species
ACGGGGACCCGCACAGGCAGCGGAGCAUGUGGUUUAAUUCGAAGCAACGCGAAGAACCUUACCAGGGCUUGACAUGCCGCUGACCGGUUUAGAGAUAGAUCUUUACCCUUCGGGGUACAGCGGACACAGGUGGUGCAUGGUUGUCGUCAGCUCGUGUCGUGAGAUGUUGGGUUAAGUCCCGCAACGAGCGCAACCCUUGUCUUUAGUUGCCAUCAUUAAGUUGGGCACUCUAAAGAGACUGCCGAUGACAAAUCGGAGGAAGGUGGGGAUGACGUCAAAUCAUCAUGCCCUUUAUGUCCUGGGCUACACACGUGCUACAAUGGUCGGUACAACGAGAAGCAAGUCAGCGAUGGCAAGCAAAUCUCUAAAAGCCGAUCCCAGUUCGGAUUGCAGGCUGCAACUCGCCUGCAUGAAGUCGGAGUUGCUAGUAAUCGCGGAUCAGAAUGCCGCGGUGAAUGCGUUCCCGGGUCUU